rnacentral:misc_RNA from 1 species
AUGAAAUAGCACAUACAGGC